UACGUGAGGGGCUAGCGUUGUCCGGAUUUAUUGGGCGUAAAGAGCGUGUAGGCGGCCAGGUAGGUCUGGUGUGAAAACUCGAGGCUUAACCUCGAGAUGUCAUCGGAAACCAUCUGGCUAGAGUCCGGAAGAGGAGAGUGGAAUUCCUGGUGUAGCGGUGAAAUGCGCAGAUAUCAGGAAGAACACCAAUGGCGAAAGCAGCUCUCUGGGACGGUACUGACGCUGAGGCGCGAAAGCGUGGGGAGCGAACAGG
rnacentral:rRNA from 1 species